CAUUACCGAGUGCGGGCCCUCGUGGCCCAACCUCCCACCCUUGUCUCUAUACACCUGUUGCUUUGGCGGGCCCACCGGGGCCACCUGGUCGCCGGGGGACAUCUGUCCCCGGGCCCGCGCCCGCCGAAGCGCUCUGUGAACCCUGAUGAAGAUGGGCUGUCUGAGUACUAUGAAAAUUGUCAAAACUUUCAACAAUGGAUCUCUUGGUUCCGGCAUCGAUGAAGAACGCAGCGAAAUGCGAUAAGUAAUGUGAAUUGCAGAAUUCCGUGAAUCAUCGAAUCUUUGAACGCACAUUGCGCCCCCUGGCAUUCCGGGGGGCAUGCCUGUCCGAGCGUCAUUUCUGCCCUCAAGCACGGCUUGUGUUUGGGUGCGGUCCCCCCGGGGACCUGCCCGAAAGGCAGCGGCGACGUCCGUCUGGUCCUCGAGCGUAUGGGGCUUUGUCACUCGCUCGGGAAGGACUGGCGGGGGUUGGUCACCACCAAAAUUUUACCACGGUUGACCUCGGAUCAGGUAGGAGUUACCCGCUGAACUUAAGCAUAUCAAUAAGCGGAGGAAAAGAAACC
rnacentral:rRNA from 1 species